UCAUAAUUUCAUUCCCUCAUUUUUCGGUUCCCCGAUAUCCCCUUUCUCUUUCACUCCCUCUCUCCCUCGCGGAACGCUGAUUUCUCUCUUCCCUCGAUUUCUCUCUUCCCUUCUCUUUCUCUCCCUGUGUCUCUUCCCUCGUCGAACACUCCCUCUCUCCCCUUCUCUCUGUUUUAUUUUUUUUUUUCAAUUUCCUUUCACUUUCUCUCCCAUUCUCCCUCGCCGAAUGCUGGGUUUUCCUCUUCCCUCAAUUUUUCUCGCUUCCUUUCUCUCUCUCUUUUCCCUCUUCAAACACUCCCUCUCUCCCAUUCUCUCUGUUUUUUUUCCAGUUUCCUUAUUCUCUCGUUUUGUCGAACAUUGUAUGCUUUUUUGGGUGUUGAACAAUCGGCAGCAACUUGCAUAAGGAACACUCGAACACCAACACCCCCAGGAACGCUGGGAUUUUGGCUUGAGAAGAAAAGCCCUAGACUGCAAUCAGUUUAUUCGAAACCUAUUGUGCUUCACAAGGGAAAAACUUAUGUACAAAGAGAUGGAAAAGGCAAACUACAUAAUGGAGCAUUGUUGGUGUCAUUUGAGACACCAAUCCAAAUGGCAAAAACACAUGAUGACACUGAAUACGAGGAGAUCGAAGGCCACACGAUAAACGUCCAACCAAUGAGCAAUCAAGUCAAGUUGUCAACGAUGCCGUGGAGGAGAACGUGAAGGUUCUUGGUCAGAGGCCUCCAAGCAAAAAAACUGAGAAAGAGAACUUGAGAAAGCAGAAGUACCGAGAAUCUACUAAUGUUGAGUUCAACAUGGCGUUAGCUCGAAUGAGGGAAGAUAGAUGGUUGUGCAUGGUAGAGAGGAGAGCAGUGGUUAUGAAGACAGAUCGUGAUAGAGGUGCACAAUUAGAACUUUAGAAGAAAAAGUCUGAGGCAAAGAUGAUGAGAUUGAAUUUUGCUGGCAUGAAUGCCAUACAACAAGACUACUUCCUUAAUAUUCAGAGGGAAGUUUAUGAUGCAUCGAAGAAUAAUUCUGAAGGUACAUUCGAGAAAUCUCCAUCCACACCUGAUGGACGUGUGUAACUGUUGGGCAUAUUUGAAGUUAAUAUGAUUUUAGUGAUUGCCUAGCAAAUCUGAUUUUUUUAUUUUUAAAUGGAUGAUAUUCUUUUGGGAUUGUGAUCUUAUUUCAACAAUAGCAUGCUGGAAAUGGACGGCUAUUUUUUGUGGGCUGGUUGUAAACUUUUGGAAUUGUGGGUAACAUUGCUAGUAGAAUCAUGUACUUUUAGUUAAAUUUUAGAAAUUACUUUGACGAAAUCAAUACCAAUGCUAAUACUCUUUCACAUUCACAA